ACACUGUUAAAAAAAGUGCUUUAAAUUAAGGGGAGGUUCUGGUGAAAAUCAUGCCAUUUCCCAAAUGGAUCCCAGUGUCAUAAUUUGUUCGGAAUAUAAAAUCUUUCUUUGAGGAGACUAAAAUUUGAUUUUUGAAGGCACAUCCCAGGCUCUGAACCCAGUCGAAGAGUCUUUUUGAG